rnacentral:rRNA from 1 species
CCAGACUCCUACGGGAGGCAGCAGUAAGGGAUAUUGGUCAAUGGGGGAAACCCUGAACCAGCAACGCCGCGUGAGGGAAGACGGUUUUCGGAUUGUAAACCUCUGUCCUCUGUGAAGAUGAUGACGGUAGCAGAGGAGGAAGCUCCGGCUAACUACGUGCCAGCAGCCGCGGUAAUACGUAGGGAGCGAGCGUUGUCCGGAUUUACUGGGUGUAAAGGGUGCGUAGGCGGCUUGGCAAGUCAGUAGUGAAAUCCAUGGGCUUAACCCAUGAACUGCUAUUGAAACUGUCGAGCUUGAGUGAAGUAGAGGUAGGCGGAAUUCCCGGUGUAGCGGUGAAAUGCGUAGAGAUCGGGAGGAACACCAGUGGCGAAGGCGGCCUGCCGCAGCGUUACUGACGCUGAAGCUCGAAAGCGCGGGUAUCGAACAGGAUUAGAUACCCUAGUA